UGAUGGUGGUUCAUAUUGCAUGGUUGGUGAAGGGGCAGGUGCAGGAUAUAACAUUAAUGUUCCUUGGGAACAUGGACAGUGUGGUGAUGCAGACUAUUUAGCUGUCUGGGACCAUGUAUUGCUUCCUGUAGCUGAAUCUUACAAUCCUGACAUAAUAUUAAUUUCUGCUGGAUUUGAUGCAGGUUAUUUUCUUUUUUACUUUUUCAAAAUUUAUUCUCUCUCCUUGCAUGUGUGUAAAAUAUCCAUUUGGUUCAGGAUUUUGGACCAUCAUACUUGACAUACGAUGGAAAUUGUUUAUAUGAAAAGAUGUCUAUGAUCAAAGUUAAUCACAAAAUCGAUGAAUAACAUGUGUCUAUACAAAGAGAAAGUUCAUCAGGAUAUACUGUUCUAGAAUUGAUGUUGGAAGGACCAACAAAGCAGAUUUCUUGGACUCAUAAACAAAUUUUUCGUGGAAACUGUUUGCAAGUUUUAAGAUACUUUUAAGUAUCUGUGAUGUGUGGACAUGUUGGUCUUCCACUGGCAUGGUACUUGAGAUGCCAUAACAUGCUAGCAAAACUGCUGCACCGUGCCCAGAAAAAUGAAAAAAAAAGAUUUAUAAACUUUCUUUAAAUUUUCUGUGCUGGCCCAAACCUGGUUCCAGUACCAAUCCAGCAUGAAAACAUGCUGAUUGGCAGGCUAGCGCUUGAAACCAUGCUUUUACAAAACUGCCAGAUCAGCCCAUUUAGUUUGAGUGCGUGCAGGUCAAGAAGGUAUCUGCAUUACAUCUGGAUGCCUUUUGCAUAUGUCUGACUUUCUGAACCAAAUGUGCACUUACAUAGACUGGCUCACAUAGACCUGUUAGUAUUAGAAAGUCUAAUUCACCAGCAAGCUGAUUGCACAUUUGCAUAGUUUCAUAGUGUUAGGCCUAAUAUUUUGUUUCACAUGGUUUCAGCUUAGACUUUUCAGCAUCUCAUUUUAUUUCAAAUGGCAAAUGGUUUCUGUUGGAACAAUUAAAACAGAAAAAUUUAUUUGUGAAAUUUAUAAAUUCAGAUAGAUAUGAUUGAAAAUGUCCCGAACCAGAUGGUUUAGGGUGUGCCGAACCAGAUUGGUGGGGAACCGGGACAGUUUCGGCUUGAAAAACGGCACAUGCUGGUGCCGAGGGACAAAGAGAGGGAAAAAGAGGAAGAGAGAGAGAGAAGAGGAGAGGGAGAGAGACCACGAUGCCGUUGGAGGCCGUCGAUGGCCCAUUGUGGCCGUCGGAGGGCACGGAAGCCUCCGCGGCUCGGUUUGCCCAUUAGGGCUUUUAAAUAAGAGAGAGAGGGGGGGGGAGUGACUUACCGGAGGGAGGCGCAGUUGGCAGAGAGUUCGUCGGAGCUUGUUGGGUGGCUGCCAUGGCCACUAACCGAUGGAAACCAUGCAGGCGGAUUCACUGCUGCGGAACAGGGGCCACCACCCCUAUUCCUUUAUCGCAUUUUUUUAAAACGCAAUGAAUAGAGAAACCGGCAAUCAAUUUGCCGACUUCAUUAUUUUGAAUUUUUUUUAAGCAAGGCAAAAACAGUGAAGCUAGCAAUUGGUUUGCCAGCUUCACUUAAGUUGCCUGCUUCACAUUUUUUCAACUUUUUUAAAGAAAGUUCUUGUGAAAUAGGGCCCUGUUUCAUGCCCGCGGCACCGCACGCGUGGAUUGCGCUGUCCGGUGGUCAAUUGGCGGCCGUCCGGCGGCCCCUCCGACUCCUUCCCCUCCCUCCUUUUCUUUCUUCCUCCUCUCUCUAUUUCUCUCUCUUUCUCUAUUUUCCUCCUCCCGGUUUGCUUCCUUUCUCUGUGUCGAUUCGUGCCGGUCCGGUCCGGUAUGGACACGUACCGACCCAAACCGCCAGCUGGCCAGCAUGGGCUCCGGUGCCGAGUCCGCGAAUCUUGAUUGAAACAUAAUAAUUUUAAAUUAAAGAAUCAGAGAGUUUUAACUUUUAAGACAACUUCCUACAUAAGCUUUUCCAUUGUGAUGAGAGGAAUUCCUCAACUUGUUGGAUUAGUGCUUCAUUGGAUCAAUUGAGACAAUUAAUUUGAAAGUUAUACAUAUUUCCUCCAAUCAAUGCAAUACUAACUUGCUAAUGAUAUAAAGAUAGGCAGUCAUGCUUAUGGGUGGAAAUAUUUAUUAAGUCACUUGACAAAACAUGUCUUGGCCUCAUGGAUCUUUUUUCCUAGGAUUCUAACAAAAUGCAGGUGGUUUCAGUCAUUCCAAAUCAUGUUCUCACACUACUUUGGUGAUCUGUGAUCCUAAAGUGGGGGAAACCUGGGCCUAAAGAUGUAUCUACUUCUUUUGGCUUCCUAUUUUGGUUCAGCAGACAAAUAGGCUGAACAUUUCUGAAGCACUAACUUAAUGGACAAUUCAAAUCAUCUUAAGUUAGCAGCCAUUUGAAGGUGGAUCUCAAAGUCAUGUUGUUACCUUGUGAGACAUCCAUUAUUUAUUACUUUUUUCUGGCAGCAUCCAAGUGACUUGGUCAUCGUCAUUGAUCAUUAUCUUUGAGGGGAGAGAUGGAUAUUCGUUGAUACUUUAUCAAGCUUGCAGUGCUACUGGAAUUCUGCUAAUGAUGAUUGACUGUCAUCAUGAUAUUUUCUUUGAAUGUGCAUGCUUUGAUCAAAUUUACAUUGGUAACCAGCAAAUGGCCACUUUUGGUGAGUCAAACAGUCACGUAGCUACUGCAUGAGCUCCUUUUGCAAUCAUCCUGCAAAGUUCAAGCUCAUAUUUUGUUUACUGGUCAGAAGUCUCACUGAAUGCCAAUUAGAGGCACAUCCAAGGGUAUUGACAACCUAGCAGAUGAGAAGAUUUAAUUUCUUCUGCCCAUUAUCUUGACGAACCAACAUAACCCUCAUAUAGCAUUAUUGUUUUGUAAACCUUAUUCUUUGUUGCUGAUUUGCUGACAUCAAUUAAAAUUAACGUGUUGAAUGUAUAAAAUUUAUUUAUGUUUCUUCUUCGAAAGAAUUUGCUAAUAUGUUUUUUCAAUAGCUGUUCGUGAUCCACUUGGAGGUUGUUGUAUCACACCAUAUGGAUAUUCACUUAUGUUGAAAAAGGUGAGUACUUUCUACAGUCUUUGUUUCUUUGAUGAAAUUUUAAAAUGACCCAUUGAAAUUCCUUAACAAGUAUGAAAAUAUUUCAUCUUUGCCAUGAUAAAUUUCGUUAAAUCAUAUUAAUUCUUUAUCUGUAUUAUGUCAAUCUUUUCAUUGCUGCUUCUUAUCUCAAAACAAAAAAAAAGGACUGCUACUUCAUGUUUAUUUCAACCAUUCCUAGAAGCAUCUCUCAUGUAUCUAAUAUUGCCAUGUCUUCAUAUGCACUGUCUUACAGAGUCCAACUUGAGUACUAUAUAAACUGUUUGUCUGAACUUUACUAUUAACAUUUGCUGCACUUACUUUUUAAGCUGAUGGGAUUUGCUCAAGGAAAGAUAGUGAUGACACUGGAAGGAGGUUACAAUCUUAAUUCUAUAGCAAAUUCAGUUCUUGCUUGUGCAAAAGUUUUAUUGGAAGAAAAACCCUUAGUUGGAUCCAUAGAGGUGCAACCUUUUGAGUCUACAUGGCGUGUCAUACAAGAGGUGUGUUGUUUGUCAAUCCCAUUUCAUACAUUUCAGUUGGUUUUAUCUACUUACUGAGAGAUCUGCCCUUUCUGAUGUGGUCCUCCUUAUCCAGGUUCGACAUGAACUAAAGACAUUCUGGCCAGCAUUGGCUGUUGAGUUACCACAGAAUGUUUUGGCUAGCAACGGUAGACCUUGCCCAGUUGAGGUACAGAAAUUUCCUUUUAAUUUCUUCCAGUUUUUUGUUAACUUGAGCCAAGCCAUAAUGGACUCUGUAGAGCUCAUCAUGUCUAAUAUAUCAACUUUGGAUUGUUGACCCUUUUGUGGAUUAAUAAUGUGUUUGGCUUUCAUUAUAAUAAAUAAUAGAAAACAAUGGCUUCAAAACCAUCUAAGUGGUUGUGAUUUUUAAUGCUGUCAUCUCCCGCUGCAGCCCAAGACAUUUUGAUAUUCUUAUGAACUAUGAGGUAUUGGUUGUCAAAACUAAAUUUUCAAAAAAUUUGUAGCCCCCAUAUUUAAAAAUAAGCUUGUUAUUUUUUGGAUGGAUUUAUCCUCAAAUUGUAUUUUGAUGGAUUGUGAAUUACAUUUCUUUAAUUUGUGGAAACAUGUGUCAAGAUUUUGUUCAUCGUGAAUAUUAUGCUUUUUAAAAUGUUAAAGUUGAAGUGUUUGUUCCUUUUUCUAUGUUAAAGAGUAUACUUCUCAAUAGAAUGCUAUUGAAAAUAACUAGCAUGAAGAAUUCCUACAAUCUCUUUUAUAGCACCUAUCUCUCUGAGCAUUAUCAGGUUUCUUUUCAUGCCUAUGCAUCCAAGUGUUGGUGCAGUUGCAAACAAUAUGCAUACCAUGAUGGCCCUUGAUCAACAUGGGCAUGACAUUUGACAUUUUCAUUACUAGUGUCAAUGGGUUGAGUUGGGUUCGCUUUGGGUCAAGUCAAGCCAAGUUCGAGUCAAAACACACCCAAGCCAUACCCAAUGCUUUUGAAAGUGUAAAAUUCUAAACCCAUACCUAACCUUGGGAUCUCACCCAAAAAAGCUAGCCAAAAUAUGUUAUUUGGGUUCCUCGGCCCUGUAGUAUAGGUAGUGAAGUUCUAUCCAGUGCAUAGUUGAUAUAGGAAUUAAAUGCACGCCUGCAUAGUUCCUUGCAAACAACCACCCAUCAAACCAUUUACUUUUUACUUAGCAAUUGUAUGACUGAAAAAAUAAAGCAAAACAUGGAAUGCAAAGAUCACAAACAAUAAAAUCAAAUUAAAUUCAAAGAUAUCAUCAUAAUCUCAAUAAGUAUAGGAAUUUUACCUACAAACAAUAAAUUUAGGAAUGCACAAAAUAUGAUAGUUAUAAACUAAGGAUAAAAAGUAGCUAAGAUGCAAACUCACAUCCCAAAACCUUGCGGCUUGGGAGUUGACCGGUUUCCAACUGAUUCGCUCAUGGCGAGUAAUUGUGUUUCGAGUGGCUACAUUUGUACGUACAUCUUUAUAACCAGGUGAUUUUGAAUUGACCUAGAAUAGGUUGACUUUUACAAUUAGGUAUGUUUGGAUAUGUUGGUCGGGUCAGAUUUUGCUCCCUUUAUUGGUCGGGGACCGAAGACCUCUUCGGUCUUGCCAACAAGUUCCGCCUUGGAAGACCAUUGAGUGGCCUAUGACUUGUUUCGGGGCUUUCUCCUUCCAACAGACGUCGAAAUGUUGUAGGGCCAGAGUUUAGACAUCCAGCAAAAAGGUGCCAUUGAUUCUUUCAUCCGAGCAAGUUUCUUUGACUUGCUUUCCCUUCUGCAUAUUUUCAACAGUUGACUUGCUUGCCUCCACAGCUUGGUCAUUAUAUCAUCAGUUUUACCAAUUCCAUAGAGAUGGCAAGGUUGGAGGUUGCCGAUGCCCUUAUCGAGGCUAAGACCUUCCGAACAAAGGUUGAUAAGGUCGAAGUUGAGGCAAAGCAGCUUAAAGAGGCACUAAAAAAAGCUGAGGCUGCAUAGGCAGUGACUGAGGCAGUGCGAGUGGCGGCCGAGGCUGCGCGAGUGAAGGGUGAAGCUGACUUUCUGGAGGAGAAGAAGAGGCGUUGAGCGGCCUAGGAAGAGGUUCCUGAGGCUGAGAAGAAAAUAAAAAGCCAAGUCAUUGAGGCUGGUUGGCUGGCGGUUGAGGCAUUCCGCGCCUCUCAGGAGUUCACUAAGGAGAAGGUCGAGUUCGUCGAGGAGAUUUUCUUCAUCGGGCAAGAUAUGAUCCACCAAAAAAUAGCCGCACGCUUUCCCAAGUUGGACUUAUCCUUUUUGGAUGAAGACGAGGCUAGCAAAGACCAACCCUCGAUCGAGCCAAUGAUCGAGGGGUAGUCUCGACUAGAGCCUAUGACCGUCGAGAAAAUUUAGCUUUAGUUGGAGCCCGUAGUCACCGAGGAAGCCUCUGGAGUAGUGGCUGUUCCUGCGAACUCAAAAGUUUCACAGCCCGAGGUUGUUUAAUGCCUCUGCUGAGGCUUCGAUUUUGUAAUCUUUUAUCUUCUUGUUUCGCCUAGCAUAUCAUGUAAAAAUGAACUUUUUAUUCAAUAAAAGAACUUUUUUUCUUUACCUCUGAGGCUUUUUCCUGAUAUUUGUCGUGUCCAUUUUCGCAUAGUCUAGCCAGUGUGGGCUUUGUGGAUGUACGGUUAUUUGCCAUCGCGCUGAGCCCUUACUGAGGGCCAUGGCUAUGUUUAUUAGUGCCCGAAUUGAGGCUCUUGAAAAAGAGGCUCGUGAGGCUAAGAAGAGGGCUACUAAAAUGGAGCAAAGGGCCUUAGAGAGGGAGAAGACUUGCACUAGGCCCUCACGGAAGUAAAGCAUUUGAGGGAGAACAUCAGGCAGACGGACCCGUCGUAUGCCUCGAAAAAGAAACAGUUGGCCAAAGCUUGCGUGAAGUCAAGAAAGGCUGUUGAGGAAGUGAAGUGGGUUGUCAUUGAGAGAAGUGAUGGCAAUGGGUAGGGUUUGGGUCGGGUAGUAUACUACCCAUCUCCAAACCCGAACUUAAUACCCUAUACCCAAACCCUACCCGAUACCCAAUCGGGUAAGAAAAGAGAUACCCAUCCCCAUACCCAACAGGNNNNNNNNNNNNNNNNNNNNNNNNNNNNNNNNNNNNNNNNNNNNNNNNNNNNNNNNNNNNNNNNNNNNNNNNNNNNNNNNNNNNNNNNNNNNNNNNNNNNNNNNNNNNNNNNNNNNNNNNNNNNNNNNNNNNNNNNNNNNNNNNNNNNNNNNNNNNNNNNNNNNNNNNNNNNNNNNNNNNNNNNNNNNNNNNNNNNNNNNNNNNNNNNNNNNNNNNNNNNNNNNNNNNNNNNNNNNNNNNNNNNNNNNNNNNNNNNNNNNNNNNNNNNNNNNNNNNNNNNNNNNNNNNNNNNNNNNNNNNNNNNNNNNNNNNNNNNNNNNNNNNNNNNNNNNNNNNNNNNNNNNNNNNNNNNNNNNNNNNNNNNNNNNNNNNNNNNNNNNNNNNNNNNNNNNNNNNNNNNNNNNNNNNNNNNNNNNNNNNNNNNNNNNNNNNNNNNNNNNNNNNNNNUUUGACCGGGUUCGGGUAGGGUGUAUACCCAUCGGGUCGGAUUAAUUUUGCCAUCCAUAGAGAGAACCGCGUGACUCCGCAACGAACUUCACUUGUCUCAGGAGAGGGUUACCGCCCUAGAACACCUUAUGGAUUUGUGUAAGGUAGUGGAAGAAGCGAGAUGGAAUAGGAAGAGAAAGGGAUCAGGAGAAGAAGGGAGGGAAGAAGGGGGGGGCAGAGGGCUCGCAAGCCUUCUUGGCACGUCAGAAGGGCGUUUCCCUCUUUUGUUUUGAAAGAGGAGAUGCAUUGUAAUUUGUUUUGAAUAUUUCGAAUUGAAGUUGGCAAACAAUUUACCAACUUCAAUUCAAAAUCAGCAAACAAUUGAAAUUGGCAAAAUCAAGUCAGCAAACAAUCGGUUGACUUGAGUUCGAAAUAUAUAUUUUUUUAAAAAGAACAGUACAUUUUGGAAUGGCAUGGUACAGAUCCGUAUCAUACCAUGCCAGGCAUCAACUAGUACAAUCUCCGCAACUGGUUCGGUGAACCUACUACCAAGUGAACUAUCUUUUCAACCCAUAUGCAACUUGAUGACAUAUAAUAGCCGCAUAUAGGGUAUGCGGUGUAAUAAGACUACAUAAGCAUGUACGGCUUCAUAUGCAGCCAUAUGCACUGCAUUUUAAAACAGUCCCUUAUCAACGCUUCUGUGAUGUUGCAUCAUGUUGAAUGGCAUUAUUUUCACCUAAGUUAUUAAAUUCCCUCUUUUUUUAUCUAGGUAGCAAUCUCAAUUCUGUUGUGUAAUUGUAGUGGGAAAUUGUUGGGUUUGACAUUAUCAAAAGGGCAUUGUUGGCCCUAAGUUUCCAUUCUCUCCUCAUGUUUCCGCAUUCAAAUAUAUUCUCUUUGUUUUUGAGAGCAUAUGAACUAAAGGAAAUGCAAUGGUUUGUUUAUCAAUAGCAAUGGCGGAGUUAGGUAUCUAGUUGAGGUUUGGGAGUAAAGGGGGGGGGGAGAGAGGGCGGGUGAUGAUGCCUUAAUAAUUUCUCGUAAAUGUUCUAAUAAAUUUAUAAAUAAUAUUUUUAGCUGGAUAUUUUGAAGUUUCAAAAUAAUCACCCUAGUUUUUAAAUGAUGACUAUGACAUCCUAUUUACAACUACUAGUUUGCAUGAAGGAAACAAGAAAAGUAAAAAAAUGAAAUAAAAUGACCAUGGUACCCCUUAGAAACAAAAAAAGGAGAAAAGAUGGAAAAAAAUAACCACGAUACUCCUUGCUCUUUAUAAUAUGCCCAAAGCAUAGAAGUUAAGAACAAAAAUUAGACAUGAAUGAAAAAUAUCAAGCAAGAACUAAAAAUAUAAUAAACUUUUUCAUCUUCUUCAAUCAAAAUUUUAAAAUCAAAUUCUGAAAAUAUGUACUUAGAAACUGAUGUGAAUAGAAAGCAUCAUAUACUAUGCUUCUUUUCUAUGUAAAAAAGAAAAACAAUGAAGUUUUAUCUGAAUAAAAAGUAGAAAGCUAAAAUCAGAGUUUCCUAAAGCAAAACUGUGACACCCGAUCCAUUUGGGCCUUGGACUAGGCCUAAAAAUCUAGAAGCCCAAAGCCCAUAUAUAUAAAAAAAAACCAGAACGGGAUCUCCGAUGAAUCCCGAACAGAAUGGAAGUCCUAGGACCACCAGGAUCCUAGGGCUCUCUAUAAACAGGCCUCCCCCUCCCUCAAGACCCUCCACCGGCGAUAUUCGAGCUAGAUUCCUCCUCUUUUCUUCGUUGAAAGCCGCGGCCUCUUCUUUUUGUGUUCAUCGAAAAUCGAAGGUCGGAGAUGCCAUCGGAGCUCAGGUAAGGCUCCAAUUUUUCUUCCUCACCCUCUUUCCUUUCUCCUCAUGGCUUUAGACCCUCGCCGACCAUCGGGAUCGCUAGAAAAUCCAUGAAAAGGGUGAACCCCUGUUCGAUCGGGCCACCUUUCUUUUUCAGCCACCGACGCCUCCGGUUGCGGCGUCUUACCCCUAGGAUAGGAUCCUUGUCCCUUUAUCUCUCUUCUCUGAAGGUAUUGGCCAUCGGUGACCGGCCAAUGAUCGAAAAAUAAAAGAAAAAUGACGGUACCUUGUUUUUUCGAUUUUUUUUGAUUUCUUGCCGGUCGAACAUUGCCGUCGACCAUCCCUUGCCUCACCGCCAUCGACCGUCACUGUCGGACAUCCGACCAAGCCGCCGCCCCUCGUCGAAGCCAAGCCACUGAGUUUCCCUUGGUCCAUCCUCUGUUCGGUCGGGAAGAGAAANNNNNNNNNNNNNNNNNNNNNNNNNNNNNNNNNNNNNNNNNNNNNNNNNNNNNNNNNNNNNNNNNNNNNNNNNNNNNNNNNNNNNNNNNNNNNNNNNNNNNNNNNNNNNNNNNNNNNNNNNNNNNNNNNNNNNNNNNNNNNNNNNNNNNNNNNNNNNNNNNNNNNNNNNNNNNNNNNNNNNNNNNNNNNNNNNNNNNNNNNNNNNNNNNNNNNNNNNNNNNNNNNNNNNNNNNNNNNNNNNNNNNNNNNNNNNNNNNNNNNNNNNNNNNNNNNNNNNNNNNNNNNNNNNNNNNNNNNNNNNNNNNNNNNNNNNNNNNNNNNNNNNNNNNNNNNNNNNNNNNNNNNNNNNNNNNNNNNNNNNNNNNNNNNNNNNNNNNNNNNNNNNNNNNNNNNNNNNNNNNNCACCUUGAUAUGAUCUUUGAUAAUCUCGAUCAUGAUUGCCUCGUCUGAAGGAUACAAAGAUUCUCUCUUUAUUUUCUCUCUCUAAAAUUUUCUCUCUUCAUGAAUUUUCUCUUUCUAGAAGUCUUGUGGACCAAUGGAGGGUCUAAAUACUUAAACAAAUCCCAAUUUUGGCUAAUCCUAGGAGAGAUCCUGGAUUUAUGUUAUUAGGAUCGUUUAUCCGUAAUUUUUUCAUAUAUGAUUUUAUAUUUAAUUCUGAUCGUGUAGAGAUGUAAUUAUUGUACAAGAAGAUAUGGAAUAAAAUAUCUUGAUUUCAGAUACGUAGAUUGAGGAGCUCAUCAAUUUCUGUAUUUAGAUCAGUCAUCGAUAAAGCUAAGAAUCCCUGUACAUGAUCACUAUUAUAUAUGCUAUUUUACCAUUAGUCUUGCAUCAUUGGUUUUGCAUCGUUGGAUUUGAGAUCGAUGAAUUUGCUAUAUCCGAGAUACCGUUAUUUGCUUAUAUGAUUUUUGAGCAUGAGUACAUUAGUCAAUAUAUAUAUAUCAGUAAUUGAUGGCACUAUUAUAUGGAUAUGAUAUAUCUAAUUGAUCACAGUGUAAAUCGAAAUUGAUUUGGUGAAAUCAACAUAUAAUGAUUAAAUAAAAAAGAGAUAUGAUUUGGACUAGCCUUAUCAUGUGGAACAGUCCGUCAGGAGCUUAUGCUUGGGACAGCCCAUCAGAAGUUUGUGCCUGGGACAACCCUCACUAACUUAUAUGUGGAUCAGCCGGUCAGGAGCUCAUGCCUGGGACAGCUCGUCAGGAACUUAUGUCUGGAACAGUCUCCCACAGGCUUUUGUACGUGGGACAGCCAGUCAGGAGCUCAUCCUGGGACAGCCUUGAAAGGCUUUUGAGUGAAAAUUUAUUCAGAUGGUGACUAAAGUAUAGACUUGGUUAGUCCAAAGCCAGAAAAAAAGGUUAAAAAUCAUGUGAGAAAUGAAAGAUAAGACAUGAAACAAUUGUUGAACAAAAAUAUUUCACCUGUUAACAUAUGAUGAUGCAUUUCUUUUGACAAGACAAAUAAUUUAUAGAUAUUUACAGUAUUCUGGAUAUUGAACAUGGAAUUUUAUAUUUUAUUGCUUAUUCUUAUUUUCAGAUUAUAUUAUUAUAUUGGUAUGAUAUGGAAAUUCUUACUGGACUGUAAAGCUCACAUUCUUUUAUUUUUUUUUCUUCUUAGAGUUAUAGGAUGCUCAUGGUUGGCUAUGGUUUGGAUUUGCGGGUGAGCAGAUGUAUAGAUAGAAUGUCAUGAUACCUGAUCAGAGGAUUGAAGAAAUUUUAUUUGUAAUUAUAUAAGUUUUACUAAUUAUUAUUGGAAUCAGAUAUUAUGGAUGUUGAGGUUGUAAUGAAUUACUUUUGGUUUUGCAUAUUUCUUAGGGCUUGCUCUAAGGAGUGUGCGGCCAUCACGUAUCCGAUCCGAAUGUUGGGUUCGGAGCGUGACAAAAUGGUAUCAGAGCCAGGUUAUGAUCAUUUGGGGACUAUGAUAUAAAUGAGUAGAGUAUGAUAAAUAAUAUCAGAGUUUAAGGUUAUGAUCAUUAAGUAUGUGAUAGAAUGAUAUUAGAGUUUAGGUUAUGAUCACUAGAGAAUAUGACUUAAGUGGUAUUUGAGUUUAAGGUUAUAAUUAUUCAGGAUUGUGACUUUAGUGAUAUUUAAACUUAGGUUAUGAUCAUAAGGAACAUGAUAGAUAUAAAAGAAAAGAUUCAAUAUUUGGAUUUUGAAUCAAUAGAUGCUAUGAUGAAAUUUAUGUAUAAGUGGCAUAUGAUGUCUAUAAUAAAAUUGACGAGUUAUAUCUUGGAUUUCAAUUAGUAGGGUGACCUGAAUAUAAGAAGAGUUGACCCUGGAAGGAAGUGGGAGGUAUUGAUAUGUUAUGUUGAGUAUACUCGAUGAUUUUGGAAUGCUAAACUUAUAUGGUUGAAGAUCAUGAUAACUUUUCUAAUUUCGAUGAUAAUUGUUUGAGCAUUAUAAAUUUUGGACUUAUCAAAAGAAAGUUAAUUAGGGUAUGGUCUAAGAAGAAAUUACAUCAUAUGAGAGAGAAAUAUUUUUGAGCAUUGAACCUAUAAGAGGUCAUAUAUGAAACUCAAUUUUAGAUGAAAAAUAUACUUAAAUUUUAUUAUGAGAAUAUGAGAUACACAUCUUGGUGGAAUCUUUGGUUAUUCAAAAUAUCAUAUUUGGAUGUGAUUGUUUUGAUCUUUUAAAUUGCAUUGAAUUUCAAGUCAAAAGUUUGCUUUUCUAAGUGGAUCUAAAGAAUUUUGAUGAUUCGAAUAAGAAAUUGGUUUUGUGAGAGUAUGAUAUAUAGGUUAUGAUGAAAUCUGUAAUAAUUUGUAUUUCCAUCUUUGGAUUAGAUUUCUUUUUUUUUUCUUGUGAUUAUUGAAGAUUGUGGACUGUAAUUCAAGUCAGAAUUCGGAUUUUUGAGUUGAACUAAGAUAUUUUGUUAUUGUUAAAUUUUGAAUAACUUAUAUAAGGGACAAGAAUUUGUAUGGAUUUAUCUAUUGAUGCUAAGGGUUGUGAUGAAGGGAGCUUUACAAGAAAUAACUAAGUUGAUUCUACUUACAAAGAUGUUGACUUGAGUUCUAGUUUGUUGAAGUUGGAGUUAAUUCUUUUGCAAAGAAAAGUUGGUUUGGAAGUUGUCUAAAUGAUUGUAAGGUAAAUCGAUGGUUAACUCAAAUUAAUUUUUGAUAUAUUGGAUUCUUGAGUAGUGAUGAAGCUUAUGUAAUAAGUUCAAACAUAGAAGGUGGAUGAAGAUUUAAUUUUGUUAUGUUAUGCCUAAGAGAUAGUAAUGACAAGAAAACUUAAAAUUUUGUCCUAAGUUUUAUAUGAAAUUUGAAAGUUGGAUCUAUCUUUGAUUGAUCUAACAUACAAAGAUAUUCUUAUCUUUUGAUAAAUCUAUAUAAUUUGGUAAAUUAAGAUCAGAGUGCGUAGCAAAAGCGUGGUGGUUUAAAUUGAUUAAAAAUAUUAAUGUUUUAAAUCAAAAGAUAUUAUGAAAUAUAUUAAUUAUAAAUAAGGAAGGAUUUUAUUGAUAAUGAAAGGAUGUUGCAGAUCUUGAUUUUCAUCAGAUUAUAGUCGGGUAAUUUUUGCUAGUAGGUUAUUUCAUUGCAGAUAAUACCAAGAAGAAUCUUAGAUAUUUCAAGUAUAUUGUUAAUAGCUUGAUAGUUCUGUUAUUAGUCCAAAAUGUUACGGUUCUUCGAAAAAGUUGAGAAAUCAAUAAGAAGGGAUGAGUUUGAGAUUUCAAAUAAUUUUUGUUAUAAUAAGAUCGGGAGAAAUAAAUAAUAUGUAAGAUAUUAUUGGAAGCGUGAGAAUGUCAUGAUGCAUGUAUAUAUAUAUAUUUUUAGAAUAUAUCUGAAACAAUAUAACUUAAUUUCGAGGACGAAAUUAUUUGAAGGGGGGAGAAUGUGACACCCAGCCCAUUUGGGCCUUGGACCAGGCCUAAAGAUCUAAAAGCCCAAAGCCCAUACAAAAAAAAACAGAACGGGAAGAAGACUCCCGAUAGGGGUCUUCUUCUCCGAUGAAUCCUGAACAGAAUGGAAGUCCUAGGACCAUCGGGGCCCCAGGCUCUCUAUAAACAGGCCUCCCCCUCCCUCAAGACCCUCCAUCGGUGAUAUUCGAGCUAGAUUCCUCCUCUUUUCUCCAUUAAAAGCCGCGGCCUCCUCUUUUUGUGUUCAUCGAAAAUCGAAGGUCGGAGAUGCUAUCGGAGCUCAGGUAAGACUCCAAUUUUUCUUCCUCACCCUCUUUCCUCUCUCCAUGGCUUUAGACCCUCACCGGCCAUCGAGAUCGCCAGAAAAUCCAUGAAAAGGGUGAACCCCUAUUCGGUCGGGCCACCUUCCUUUCUUUUUUGGCCACCAGUGCCGUCGGUUGCGGCGUCUCACCCCUAAGAUAGGACCUUCGUCCCUUUAUCUUUUUUUUCUGAAGGUAUUGGCCGUCGGUGACCAGCCAAUGAUCGAAAAAUAAAAGAAAAACAGCGGUACUCUAUUUUUUCGAUUUUUCUUGAUUUCUUGCCUGCCGAACCUUGCCGCUGUGCAUCCCUUGCCUCACCGCCAUCGACCGUCACUGUCGGACAUCCGGCCAAGCCGUCGCCCCUCGUCGGAGACAAGCCACCGAGUCCCCUUGGACCAUCCUCAGUUCGACUGGGAAGAGAAAGAAGCAAAGAAAAAGAAAAGAAGAAAAGAAAAAAAAGAAAAGAAGAAAAAAAAAUAGAAAAAAAAGAAGAAAAAAUAGAAAAAAAAGAAUAAGAGAAUUUUCUCUCCUCUCCUUUCUUUCUCUCUCUUUCCUCUCUCCUCUCUCUGCCUUCUCUCUCCACUUUCUUUCUGUAGAUUAUCUUUACUUUCUCUCUCUAGAAUUUUCUCUCUCUAGGGUCAUUCUCUCUCUUUGAUUGCAUCACAGAUCUUAGAAUAAAUUUGAGAUGAAAAUAUGAUGAUUUGAGAUUGUUCCAAAAUUCGUGCAGUAGAUUGGAUCCCAGCUUUGUUCUUAUUCAAAAUUUAUAACAUCGAUUAUAGUUAAUCCAUAUUGAGUCACCUUGAUAUGAUCUCUGAUAAUCUCGAUCAUGANNNNNNNNNNNNNNNNNNNNNNNNNNNNNNNNNNNNNNNNNNNNNNNNNNNNNNNNNNNNNNNNNNNNNNNNNNNNNNNNNNNNNNNNNNNNNNNNNNNNNNNNNNNNNNNNNNNNNNNNNNNNNNNNNNNNNNNNNNNNNNNNNNNNNNNNNNNNNNNNNNNNNNNNNNNNNNNNNNNNNNNNNNNNNNNNNNNNNNNNNNNNNNNNNNNNNNNNNNNNNNNNNNNNNNNNNNNNNNNNNNNNNNNNNNNNNNNNNNNNNNNNNNNNNNNNNNNNNNNNNNNNNNNNNNNNNNNNNNNNNNNNNNNNNNNNNNNNNNNNNNNNNNNNNNNNNNNNNNNNNNNNNNNNNNNNNNNNNNNNNNNNNNNNNNNNNNNNNNNNNNNNNNNNNNNNNNNNNNNNNNNNNNNNNNNNNNNNNNNNNNNNNNNNNNNNNNNNNNNNNNNNNNNNNUUAUCUCAUCUGAAGGAUAUAAAGAUUUUCUCUCUCUAAAAUUUUUUUCUUCAUGAAUUUUCUUUUUCUAAAAAUCUUGUGGACCAAUAGAGGGUCCAGAUACUUAGACAAAUCCCAAUUUUGGCUAAUCCUAGGAGAGAUCCUGGAUUUAUGUUAUUAGGAUCGUUUAUCCGUAAUUUCUUCAUAUGUGAUCUUAUAUUUAAUCCUGAUCAUGUAGAGAUGUAAUUAUUGUACAAGAAGAUAUGGAGCAAAAUAUCUUGAUUUCGGAUACGUAGAUUGAGGAGCUCAUCAAUUUCUGUAUUUAGAUCAGUCAUUGAUAAAGAUAAGAAUUCCUGUAUAUGAUCAUUAUUAUAUAUGCUAUUUUACCUUUGGCCUUGCAUCAUUGGUUUUGCAUCGUUGGAUUUGAGAUCGAUGAAUUUGCUAUAUCCGAGAUAUCGUUAUUUGCUUAUAUGAUUUUUAAGCAUGAGUAUAUUAUGUCAAUAUAUAUAUAUAUCAGUGAUUGAUGGCAUGAUUAUAUGGAUAUGACAUAUCUAAUUUGAUCACAGUGUAAAUCGAAAUUGAUUUGGUGAAAUCAACAUAUAAUGAUUAAAUGAAAAAAAGAUAUGGUUUGGACUAGUCUUGUCAUGUGGAACAGCCCGUCAGAAGCUUAUGCCUGGGAUAGUCUGCCAGGAGCUUAUGCCUUGGACAGCCCCCACUGGCUUAUAUGUGGAUCAGUUGGCCAGGAGCUCAUGCCUGGGACAGCCCGCCAGGAGCUUAUGCCUGGGACAGCCCCCCACGGACUUUCGUACAUGGGACAGCCGAUCAGGAGCUCAUCCUGGGACAGCCUUGAAAGGCUUUUGAGUGAAAAUUUGUUCGGAUGGUGACUGAAGUAUAAACUUGAAUAGUCCAAAGCCAGAAAGAAAAGGUUCAAAAUCAUGUGAUUAUGAAAAAAGAAAUGAAAGAUGAGACAUGAAACAAUUGUUGAACAAAAAUAUUUCAGCUGUUAACAUAUGAUGAUGUAUUUUUUUUGACAAGACAGAUAAUUUAUAGAUAUUUGCAGUAUUCUAGAUAUUGAAUAUGAAAUUUUAUAUUUUAUUGCUUAUCCUUAUUUUUAGAUUAUAUUAUUAUAUUGGUGUGAUAUGAAAAUUCUUUCUGGGCUGUAAAGCUCACACCCCUUUAUUUUUCUUUUUUUUUCUGAGUUACAGGAUGCUCAUGGUUGGCUAUGGUUUAAAUUUGCGGGUGAGCAGAUGUAUAAAUAGAGUGUCAUGAUAUCUGAUCAGAGAAUUGAAGAAAUUUUAUUUGUAAUUAUAUAAGUUUUACUAAUUAUUAUUAGAAUCAGAUAUUAUGGAUGUUGAGAUUGUAAUGAAUUAUUUUUGGCCUUGCAUAUUCUUUAGGGCUUGUUCUAAGGAGUAUGCAGCCAUCACGUAUUCGGCCCGGGUGUUGGGUUCGGGGCGUGACAAAAAUAAAAUAGAACAUUUUGCUAGAAGUAGAAAGCAGAGACUAUUUUAUAAGAAAGGGAGAAAAUGAAAAUGUGAGAAUUAAUGGAUACUUUUAUUCUUGCUUUUCCCACUUAUCCUUUUAUUCUUAUACCUUAUCCUUUGUGAGAGAUUUUUCCACAACAAAUUGAAAAUGUUCCCAUCAUGGUUUGCCGAACCAUCCCGAACUAGGCAGUUCGGGGUAUUUUGACCCACACUGGCCGCAAACUAGGAUGGUUCGGCCUUCCAAGUCAGAACACCGGACGAGGGAGAGGGAAAGUGAGGGAAAGAGUGGAAAAGAGAGAGAGGAGGGGAGGGAAAGAGAGCUAGUGGCAGCUCAUUGAGGCUGUUGGAGGGCCGCAGAGGCCUUCGUGGCUCCAUGUCGCCUGAUAGGACGUUUAAUCGAGAGAGAAAGAGAGAGAGGGGACCGGAGGGAGGCGAUUUAAUGGAGGAAGCGGAGGCCUUGGCAGCCCUUUGAGUGCGCCCACAGUCCGCUUGUAGCCAUUAUCGGUAUCUCCUCCGACCAUCCUCUCUCUCUCUUUCCUCUUCUCUCUCUCCCUCUCCUCUCUCUCUUUUCCUCCUCUCUGAUUCCUUUUUUCGCUUCUAUGUUGGUGUGCACUAGUCUGAUCUAGUACGAAUCCAUAUCGACUCGUACUACUUACCAGCUAGCAUAGGUCCUGGUACAGGUUCUGCGGACCUUGGUUCUCAUAAUGUUAUGCAGAUUUUUAGGGAAGGUUUCCUUUUGGAGUUGGACUCUGCUCAAAUGCCUGGGAAAUGGAUGGAUGAUAUUAUAUUUGGUGCGCUGUUAGUUCCCACAGUAUAUAGCAAGUGGAAUCCAAGGUACACAAAUUUUAGGAGGGGGAAAUCACACUAUAUGAGAAGGGGAAUAUAAAGAUUUCAGAGAUGUUGGAGGAGGAAGUUGGCCCCUCCUGCCUCUGUUGUUGGUCAAUGGCAGCUUGCAUUUGCUCACAAACUGUUUGUCCCAUAUGAAAUAAACAUUCGGUUACAAUAUGUACCUGAAUUCAAGGUUAAAUGUUGGUGAUGCCUUGAAGUUUAAGUAACUGUAGCUAUUAUUUGUAACUUCCAUAUAAACCUUUUACUUGCACUUGUGACUUUAUAUUGUUACACUUCCAGCUAAACUUGAGCUCUAGCUCUGAGUCUGAUUUGGGGAGUGAUGGGGAAGCUUCCAGCACUGUAUGUUCCUCAAAAUUUGUUGAGAUUAUUGAGCCCCUUUCGAAGUUGAAUAUUGAUGAAGAUAAUCAAGGGAAAGCGAUUGUCUCAAACCACAGUCCAGCUGAGCAAACUCCUGUUAUUUCAUCAGAAGAAUGUCGUAAUGCACAAGCAUUGGUGCCUGAUAACAGUGUUGAUGGUUGUAUUUCUUGGAGAUCAGUUUUAUCAAAUAUUGAAGUUUGGUAUGCCAGCUAUGGAUCAAAUAUGUGGAAACCAAGGUUUCUCUGCUACAUUGAAGGUGGAAAGGUAUGAUGCUUGUCAUAUUAGCAGCCAAAGAAAUUCCUAAUAAUAACAUGAUUGCAAAGCACUCUUUGCUUCAAAAAAAUUCAUACUGCCAAAUGCCAAUGUUUGUUUUUUUGUGCUCAUUAUGUUGUGUUUUUUCAUUGUAUUUUUGAAUAUUAUGUUACUUUUUUUUUCAUGUUCUUGCUACAACCUUCGCUGGUCUUGUAGGUUUUGGUACUGACUUAUGUAACAACCAAAAAUAUUGCCUAGUAAUUGAAGAAGUUUGACCUUUUCUAAGUGAUUGCCAUUUAUGUGAGGUUAUCCCUUUAUUUAAACAGAUCUAGUGGCGAUAAUUUUUUUUUUUAUCUUAGUCAUUGAUUUGAUGCCAAGGUUUGAUGGCUCUGGUGUCGAUUAAGCCCGUAAAAUUCCAGUUUUGGCAAUUUAACUCAAGUUAAGUUUCCUUAAAAUAAAUGGGAAAUUAAAAAAAAAAUAGAAGUGAACAGGAGAGGUGAAGAAACAUUAUUACACAGCAAUUAAGUAAUUUGUGUUACAUAGGUGCUAUAGUUGCAUAGUAUCGAUAGAUUUAGGCUAAAGUUAAUGAUGUAUUUAGAAGAACUUCAUAAAACAUGGUGGUAUGAUUUUUAGUAGGCAUACAUAUUAUUUGCUUAUUGAACUUUGAUUUCUUGAAAAUUUAUUAUUAGCGAAUGUGAAGCUUUUUGUCACAUGGGUCUUCCCAUCUUUUGUCAGAGAAAGAAGGUGAAUCUUUUCAAUGCUUAAUGUGCUCAAGUCCUUUUCUUCAUUGAUUUUAGCCAGGCUCACAAAAACUUUAAAUUCAGGCAUUUCUUUCUUGUAUUAUUCAGAUUACGUGGAAAUGAAUUCAGUUAUAGUUUUUUUUUUAGUUAUAGGAAUGAUGAUCUCACAUGAGUCCUUAUAAAGUACUAAAAUAGGGGCCUCCUAGGAGACCCCGGCAUAUCAAUAGCUAUAUUUGUCAUCUACAAGUUUUUUUUUCUUUAUUUACUCAAGAUAGAAGAAUGAAAAAUUAGGGCUGAAACCUGAUCGGAUACCGGCAUAUCCAUAUCCAUAUCCAUAUUUAUUUAUAUGGAUACGAAUAGAGAUAGUAGUCGAAUGCAAAAAUGCAUAUCCAUAUUUGUUUUAAAUGGAUAUGGAUACAAAUUAGAUACUGGGAGUAUAGAUACAAAUACGGAUAUAAGUCGGAUAACUAAACUUUAUAACCACAGAAUUAAAGAUAUGACCAAAUGGAUUGUAAAUCAAAUUAAUAGCAUGUUAAUUUGGUUAUAUAUUUCCUUUAAAAAGUCAUGAGCGCCAUAUAAAAUUAAAUAAGAUUAUAAAUAAUUAGAUAUUCAUAUAUGGAUCGGAUAGUUGUGUAUCCAUAUUCAUAUAUAUUUUUCUUUGACAGAUAUGGAUAUGAAUACGGAUCUUAAUCGGAUGUUCUAAUUUCUAUCAAUAUUCUAAUAGAUUCAGAUAUGAAAAUGGAUCGGAACGGAUAUUAUCCAAUCUAUUUUCACUCCCAUGAAAAAUCAUCCAUAAUGAACACAACAUAGAUAUUACUUAGAAAUUAAAAAAAAUCGUACAUAUGAUAUUAUUCCAAAUGAGACUUAAAACAUGUUUAGGACUAGUUUAGGUGAGUUUUGAUAAAAAAUAACUGAAAGUGGACCAAAAUUGAUCAAUUUUGGAUGAAAAUGAUUGAACAUAUGGAAAAUAUUUUGGUGUCAGUUGUCUUGAUUUUGGCUAAAACCAUCAUACCGGUCCGUUCAUUUUUUACCGAAACUUCGAACUUGUUUCCAUGCAAGUAACGGUCUUUCACAACUUGAAAAAUCCAAAUAUUUUAACUAAUGAUUAAUCUUUUCGAAGAAACUACAAGUGAUAAAGCAUGAGUACUAGAUUUUGAAGCAUGAUAUGAAUGCAAGAUACAAAUACAACAUGAUACAGAUACCAUGAUGAUGCGGCACCAAAAACACAAAAAAGCAAGGGAAAUAAAAUAAAAGGACAACAAGGAAAUCAAGAGAAAAAAAUCAACACUUUAGGAUUUUCAAUGUCAUUCAAAGCUGCUCCCUUAAUACGAUAGGCUUCUUUAAAUAGAUAAAAACAAAAUGAAAAUGAAAUCACAUCUUAAUGAAAGUGAAAAUCAUAUCUUUUAAAAUGGAAAUAAGAUAAAAUUGCUCAAAUAAAAUGAAAAUGAAACCAUAUCCUAAUAAAAAUGAAAACCGUAUCUCUCAAAAUGAAAACAAGAUAAAAUCUCUCAAUUACAUUAUUCAAAAUUCUACAAUUCCUAAAUUAUGACAUCUCCGUCUAUAAUAAGUGCAGAAUUUCUGAUUCUCAUCAUUUUCUUCUGGCUGGAAAGCUUGCUUUUGACAAGGAAUUAUAGUAGGCCUUUAGGAGAUUUGGAUCAAUGCAGUGUAACUCAUCUUUGUGAACCUAAGUAGCAUUUGAAUCAGGCCGGUCCUAUCAGUUAACCAAGAAUCGUUGAAAUCCACCAUGAGUAGAAACAAUCUCGUCAGUGAUAAUGCGCUCAAUGCGGUCCGAUGACGACGACGAAAGUGGAGGAAGAACUGGAAUUGUUAUUGAAGAUGAAAUAGUGCAACCAGUAGGAAAAUCUGCAUGCAUAGUAGGAGGCUCAAAUGUAUCCCGAUAAGGAAACAAGUCCGUAAUAUUGAAAACUGGACAAACUUUCAAGUCAAAAGGUAACUCUAAAUAAUAAGCAUUAGGUCCAAGUUUAUGAAAGAUGCGAAAGGCACCAGUAGCUCGAGUAUGUAUUUCUUGAACGAAUACUUGGGAUAAUAUUCUUGAUGGAUUCGAGCCAUCACAUAAUCACCCUCAUUAAACUCUACAUUCCUACGGUGAGCAUUAGCAGCAAUUUAUAUUUUUUGAUGCUCAUAGCAAUUUUUCGCUGAAUAUCGGCAUGAACAAGGAUUCAGAUCCCAGUAGGACGUUCCGCGGGACAUCGGGACAGAAUACCAUUCCAUGUGUCUGGACAAGGCCGUCCCAUUAGCAUCCCAACAUCUCAAAUAAGAUGUCUUGGGAUAUCUUUGUCCCAAGUGUUGGGAUGGGGCAGGAUGGCGGCGUGUCUCAUUCCAUGAAAAAAUCGAGAAAGCCCCAUCCCAUAGGAUUUAAAAUCUUGGGCAUAAAUGUGAUGAAUAUGUUGAGUAAAAGAGGUGGCCAGCUUAAAAAUGCUAUUAUCCAUAGCUGAGGGAAUAAGAUCAAUGGGUUGAUGAGGAGUAAGACCAUGAAUAAUUUCAAUAGGACUCUUGCCAGUAGAUUGAUUUGCUGAGCUAUUAUAGGCAAUUUCCAUCGUAGGCAAGGACAAAUCCCAUAUACCAGGCUAUCGCCAACUAGACAUCUAAGCAAAUUACCAAGGCUAUGGUUUACAAUCUCUGUUUGACCAUCUGUUUGAGAAUGAAAGGAUGAGGAAAACUUUAAAUUGGUUCCAAACAAUUUCCAAAGGGUCUUCUAGAAAUAACUCAUAAAUUUGACAUCACAGUUAGACACUAUGGAAGAAGGCAAACCAUGAAGUCGAAUGACCUUCCUAAAGAACACUUUAGCAACAAAAGAGGCCUUAGAAGUCUUAUGGCAAGGAAUGAAGUAUGCCAUUUUGGAAAAUCUAUCAACAACAAUUAGGAUUGAGUCAUGCCCCCUAAUGGUCCUAGGUAAUCCAAGAAUGAAAUCCAUGCUAAGGUCUUUCCACGAGGAGUGUGGGAUAGGAAGAGGGGUAUACAAAUUGGUGUUUUGCUUUUGGACCUUAGCCAAUUGGCAUGUGCGACAUUGUGCAAGGAUUCUAGCCACAUCUCUUUUAAAGGAUGGCCAAUAGAAUUUAUCUUCGACCAAAGCUAUGGUCUUGUUGCACCUAAAGUGCCCAGCUAGGCCCUUGCAUGAAGCUGCCAAAUGAGAAAAUUCCAUAAAGAUGUCCUAGGUAUGCAUAGGCGACGACCGCUAAAUAGGUAACUAUCCCUGAUCACAGAAUCAAUAUAUUUCCGACGAUUUUCUAUACUAACCUCUUGAAAAAUGAGAGCAAAAUCAGGACAAUUUGGAUAGUCAUCCUUCAUUUGCUCAAAACCAAUUAUCUUGGUACUUAUGGACUAGAGGACAAUAACUACCCUACAUAGUGCAUCAGUAGCCUUAUUCUUCACACCAGCUUUGUGUUUGAGAACAAAGGUAUAGUCCUGGAGAAACUCUACCUAUAUGGCAUGCCUAGUGCUAAGUUUUUUCUGAGACUGGAUGUACCUAGGGGACAAAUGAUCAGAAUAUAAGAUAAACUCCUAGGAUAGAAGAUAAUAUGACCAAAACCUAAGAGCCUGAACAACAGCAUAAAACUCUUUAUCAUAUGUGGAAUACCUUUGCUUAGCAUCAUUGAAUUUUUUGCUGAAGUAGGCUAUAGGAUGACCCUCCUGGCUAAGGACACCACACCAAUUUUGAUGCCAGAUAUGUCAUAGACAAUCUCAAAAGCUUUAGAGAAGUCAUGAUGGAUCCACACAGGUGCCUCAGACAUCUUGAGUUUUAUAUCACCGAAAGCUCUUGCGGCAGUAGCAGGCCAAUGAAACUCCCCUUUCUGCAUACAAUUUGUAAUGGGAGCCAUGAUGGUGCUAAAUGCCCUAAUAAAACAUCUACAGAAAGAGGCUAGACCAUGAAAGCUACGAACCUCAGAAAAAGAUGUUAGUUUAGGCCAUUCUCUAAUGGCCUUUACCUUCUCGGGAUCAGCCAUGAUAUAUUGAGAAAAUACAACAUAUCCUAAGAACAACACUUGGUCCUGAAGGAAGGAAUACUUUUUAAUAUUAACAUACAAUUUGACAGACCUGAGAGUGAGGAAAACCUUUCUAAGGUGAACUAAGUGCUCUUCUCUAGAGCUACUAUAAACCAGGAUAUCAUCAAAGUAGACGACUAAGAAUUUACCAAUGAAGGGUCUCAACAACUUUGUCAUAAAUCUCAUAAAUGUACUAGAAGCAUUGAACAACCCAAAGGGCAUGACUAACCAUUCACAAAAACCAUCCUGGGUCUUAAAGGCAGUUUUUCACUCAUCCUCAGGCCGAAUCCUAAUUUGGUGAUGCCCAUUAUGCAAAUCAAAUUUGGAAUAGACUAUAGAGCUAGCUAAUUGGUCAAGCAUGCCUCAAGCCUAGGAAUGGGAAACCUAUAUUUGACAGUGAUCCUAUUGAUAGCUCUACUAUCUACAUGCAUUCUCCAUGUACGAUCUUUCUUAGAGGUCAAAAGGGUUGGUACAGCAUAAGGAUUGAGACUAGGUCAAAUGUGACCUUUCAACAACAAGCCAUCUAUUUGCUUUCUCAUCUCCUCGUGCUCCUUAGGGUUCAACCUAUAGUGUGGAAGAUUAAGUAUCUGGGAUCUUGGAACUAAGUCAAUGGCAUGUUGGAUGUCACGCAUGGGAGGUAAACUAUCUAGUAUGUCCUCUGAGUUCACAUCCUUAAACUCCUCCAUCAACUGCUCAAUCUCAGGAGGUGGGUUAUCUUGGGAGUUAGAGGUCAAGUAGAUCUUACUCCUAGGGAUGACAGCUAAUAUCACUCCAAACUUCCAACUCUCUUUUUCAAAUUUCCUAUGAGUCAAAAUGUGAUAGUUUUUCUAACUAAGGGUUGAAAAGAACUCUUAUCCUUUUUUGCAGGUUGAAACUCACUAGGCUUUGCAGGGUUUAACCUAAUUUUUUUAUCGUUAUGCAUGAAAAUAUAAGUAAUCUCCCUACCAAAGUUAUGAGCAUCCACAUCAUAAAUCCAAGAUCGAUCUAACAAGACACUAGUGACCUCCAUGGAUAACAUAUCACAUAUAAUCUCAGUAGAGUAACCUCCCAUCUGAAUUGGCACUAGACAACACUCACUAAUACGAACUGAAAUUUUUAUCUACCUAGAUAACUCUAUAAGGAUGAAGAUGAGGCUGAGACUUCAGUUUCAAUCUACUAAUGGAAGAUUUAGUAUGAGACUUCAGCAACAUUCAUAGAGCUACCCCCAUCGAUGACAAGCUUGCAAACCUUAUCUCCACAUUGGGUAUAAGUAUGAAAAAUGCUGGUGCAUUUCCAUGCCUCAGUCUGCAGGAGUGGUGAUGAUACAUCUUAUGAUAUUAACACAUCCUCCUAAAUCCUCACAAUUCUCCUCAUACUCUUCCUUUGAAGUAGCUGCUCUAGAGGAUUAAAGUCUUCUAUGGGGCCAUCAUAUAAAGUUUCCUCACAUUCAAUUCUCAUGGCCAAUGUAUGAUGUGGACAUUGAGCAGCUAUAUGGCCCUUAUUAUUACAAUAAUGGUACUUUAUAUUUGAAGAACUAACUGAAUGAGAUGCCAUUGGGGUAGAGUCUCGGAUCCCAAUGACUGUGGAUUGCUGAUUAGCAAUCAUACUCGAAAUAGGAUCAUGACUCGUACAAGAAGGCAAUAGCUGUUAAACAUCCUUAGUACGAUUGACAAGGACAGACCUAGAUUGUCUAGACUCAUUGGGGAAGGAAACUCCUUUUCUUUGGGGGAGAAAUCCUAUAAAACUUCUUAAUCUUUAAGGCUUUGUGGUAGGCAUUCUUUACAGAUUUAGGAGAAUACAAAGAAACCUCCCUCUUCAAGUCGACUCUUAGACUACUAGCAAACUUAGAUAUCAGCUUCCAUGAUUCUUUAGAAAUAUAACACCUCAAUUGUACAUCCUCAAAACAAGCCACAUAGUCAGUGACACUAGUGAUUCCUUGUCUGAGAGUAUACCAUUGGUCCAAUAACUAACUCCUGUAGUAAGUGGGAAUAUACUUCUCACAAAGCUUAGACUUCAUCUCCUCCUAAAGGACUAUAAGUGGAUGUCCUACUUGCUCUAGAUCUCUUUGGAUUGUCUGCCAAUACUGCUUGGUAGACCCCAUAAACUUCAUUUUAGCAAAGCAGACAUGAGAUAUAUUUGACAUGUGGUACUACUCAAAAUAAGCCUCUAGGUCCUGUAACCAAUCAUGGAAUGCAUCUAGAUCUAACCUGCCACCCUAGGAAGCAACAUCAAUCUUAAUCCCUUUAGGUGAUUCCUCAAACUCCUCACAUCUAGACGGAUACGACCUAAGUUGUUGACCUGGGGGUCUGAAGUGCUUAGGGCCUCGAGCAUACUUAGUAGGUUGCUCAUGAUGUCUAGAUGGGGAAAUAGGUGGUUCCACUUCUCCCUCGUAGUCAUCUCCGUAAUACUUAUAAUCCCUAGCUUCUGUUAUAUAAUCUAGAGGAAUCCUAUGAUUAUGACUUUGAAAAUUGUUUACGAAAUGAUGGGUAAUUGGAGGGACUGACAUGUAGAUUGGAGGUGCCUGAAGGGACUGCUUAGUCUGCAAGAUAUGACUCGGACCACCAGUUGGCUUAAGAGUCUGGGAAGGAAGCUGAUAAAUGGGUUGACUACUAGUAUGAUCAUUCUCUAAAGGUUGUUUAUCCAGUCUUGACUCUCUCAGGGAUAAUAGAUGUUCGACCUGCUGAUCGUUGAGAUUAGCCAUGUCGACACGAUGAUUAACCUGAUUAGUACGAAGCUCAAUAAGAUCAAUUUGAAGUCGGUCUAAUGACCGGCACUUUUGGUUUAAAGUCUCUUGGAAUGCAGUUUGGAUAUUUUUAACAGAUUCAAGCUUUUUUUCCAUAGCAGAAUAAACAUCUUUCAAAUUGCCAAUGGUCAUGGUAGCAAGGAAGGGCAAGGAUAAAAGUGAUAUUAGACUAAAAUGUUGUAAUCACAGAGAAAUUCAACUCAAUCCUCACAAUGAAAAAUGUAAAGUCAAAUGCAGUGCCUAUAUUUUUUUGGUGCGUGCAAUAUCAAAGAGGUAAUGUGAUAUAAUCGAGCUACUAAAGAUAAAUAUGAACAAAAUAAGGCCAACCCAAUAAUUCGGGUUCCUUUUUUUGUUUAGGGAAGUAUGAAAUAAAGUGGUUUAGGGCAGUAUGAAAAAUAAAAGAGAGGACCUAAGCCAACCAUAGAAGCUACCCAACAAUUUGAAGAAGUCACAAGGUUCAAUGAAGGAAUCGUACCUUACACAAAGAUGAGAUCAAUUACCUUAAAGCAAUUUGCACAGUGCGCAGAAAGUGAUUUGAUAGUACUCUGAUACCAAUUGAUGUGGCACCAAAAACACAAGAAAGCAAAUAGGAAAGAGAUAAAAUGAAAGGAAAACAAGGAAAUCAAGAGAAAAAAAAUCAACACACUUUUGGGUUUUCAAUGUCAUUCAAAGCUACCCGCUCAAUAUAAUAGGAGUCUUUAAAUAGACAAAAAUAAAAUGCAAACGAAAUCACAUCCUAAUGAAAAUGAAAAUCAUAUCUCUCAAAAUAGAAACAAGAUAAAAUCUCUCAAAUAAAAUGGAAAUGAAACCACAUCCUAAUAAAAAUGGAAAUUAUAUCUCUCAAAAUGGAAACAAGACAAGAUCUCUCACAAAUCCCUUCAAACAUUAUUCAAAAUCCUACGAUUCCUAAAUUACGAUGUCUCUGCCUAAAAUAAGUGCGGAAUUCCCGAUUCUCAUCACAUGAUGCAAAGAAUAUUGAAAAAGUAAGAUACGAUAUGAUGAGGAUAGAAUAAAUAAAUAAUUAUAUAAUUUUUACUAUAUGUAAAGAAAAGCUUUCAUAGCAUAUCUUAUACAAUAGAUCAACAUCAACAAACUCCAUCAUUUAGUCGUACUCUAUUUACAUUGUCUUAGGAAUAGACAUCAAUUUUGAUAUGUCCAAGCAUCCAACCCUUUCCUUCUUUAUGUAUUUCUCCUUGUUUAACCAUGUCCAAGUGUUGUUCCUUACUGUUUUGAAGUGUCAGGUCAAGCACUUUGUUGUAAAUCAAAAGGUCCUAGCCACAUAGAUCAUGGUUACAAUCCAUAUACUACACUCCACACUCCAUCUACUAAGAUCAACAUCACACACUUUAAAAUUAACCAUCCAUCGUUAAAAGGUCAACAUUCAUCAAAAAUGAAAAAGGAGGAAAGAAAAAGGAAAGAAAACCCUCUCUCUUAUAUCCAAACAUAUCAAUGAAGUAUUCCAGUUGUUACUGGGAAGUAUCAUGAGAACUUUCUUAAUUUUGAAAAGUAGGGCACUAAAUAGAAGUAUCUAAGAUGUAUCCUAAAAGAACUCAACAAGUAUCUGUCAUUGAUAUGUACUGGAUGCAGACACACAUCAUUUUAAAUUAUCUGUGCUUCCUAGUUUUUGGAUUCCCAUUGUGUUUUUUCUAUCUGAUCCAAGGAAACUAGAAAGAAAAUUUCCAACUUUAGGGUUAAAAGGAAUGCCAGAUAAAUUUUGCAUUUUUUUUGAGUGAUCCAAAUCCCUCCCUUAUCUGUAACUCUGCUACUAAUUCACUUUGCAGCUCUCCCGCUGGACCCCUCAAUCACUGGCCUGCAGUUGCAAUGAUUUAUUAUGGGACCUUAUUCCAUGUUUUUGCUUGCUUUUUACUGUUCCAGUUUCUGUGCUGAAUCCGGUCAGCCUCCAGCAGGCAUGGGUGGUUUCAAGUCAAGUUUGAUAUGUAGCAUGAGUUUUCCAGUACUGACAGCGGAUCUGCUUAAGAAAAUCAUCCAGUGUACUAUUUGUUACAUAUUUUUUUUUGAGUAUAGCUUUUACUUUUACACGGGCAAACAAUAUUUGGUAGGUUUAACAGCCAUAGUAAGAUUACCUAUAGAAAGGUAAAGAAGAUGCACAUACAAAGAUCUAAAUAUUGGAUUUGUUGUUAGACUGGAUCCAUCUUCUAACUGCAUUAAUUCUGUAUUUAUUGCUCAAAUACAAUAGCUUUUCAUGGAGAGGGGAAUGGAUGUGUAUGGGUGGGUGGGGGAACAAGUUUUUCCUUCGAUUAUAGUUUUAAGUUAUAUAUUAUGUUUUUCCCUAUAAAGGUUGAUGCUUCCUAUUUUCCCGUCUGAUUGCUUUGGAACUCUAAAAAGGCUACUUGAUAAUGUCUUAAUAUUUUUGUACCCAUCAUUUUAAUAGGUCGAAGGUAUGAACAAACCAUGUCCUGGAUCGCGAGAUAAAAGUUCACCAAAAGAUGUCAUCUGGAAAACAGUGCCUCAUCGGUUAUUCUUUGCAAGAUCUCACACCCGGACAUGGGGCAAAGGAGGUGUUGCUUUUCUUCAUCCUGAAAGCAACAAGAAUGAGAAAGCCUACAUGUGCAUGUAUAGAAUAACGUAAUAUUCUCUGAACUGUGAUAUAUUUUGUAGUUCAUGUUGAAGCAGGCCAUACAAAGUUGAUUUAACUGUUUAUAUUGAAUGCCUCACGCUUUUGUUCUGCUUUGACAAGCUAUAUACAGGCUUGAGCAGUUCAAUGAUGUAUUAUUUCAAGAGAAUAGUUUACAUCAAGAGAAUGGCAAAAGUCAUGGUGCAAGAGUGCCUUUACUGGAUUUAUCUGAGAUCGGUGUUGUUGCUGGAAAUAAGUCAUUGCCUCUAGAGGCUCUUAAGGUACUGUCUUUCCUCUGUAAUGCUAUAAAAACCACUGUAUUGUGGAUUUCUAUUUGAAUUACUUGACAUGACCUCUCUCUUUAUGUGUGCACAGUAUGCAUGGUUCUCUUGGUACAUUCCGUGUACCGAUAGCUUAAUUGUUUCCACUGGAUAUCUGACCAUUACUGGGAUUUCCUGCAGGCUGGAUGGUAUUCCAAUGUCCUUUAUUUGGGGAAGGAGGAUAACCUUCCAAUCUUCACUAUGACGUAUGCCUUUCUUACUCUGUAUUUUAAAUUUUUCUUGUUUUUGUUGAGCUGUUAUGAGGCCCCUGGAUUUCCAACCUAAAUCAUAAAUCUUAUGUACUGCAAACGUUUAUAUUGAGGCAGUUUUUUUCCUUGUAGUCCUGUUGUGAGGCAGUUUAUGUGAUUACAUCUUGCUGUCUGUCCUGUAUGAACUCUUUACUGCUUUCACUAUUUAUCUAUGUCAUCAAUUUCUCAAACUUGGGAAAAAGGCAUUGCAUUGUUCAAGUCACAAUGGAUUAGAAAAUUUUAUCAAAACCAAAUAUCCAGAAUUUGUUUUCUGAGAAAAAAAAUAGGCUUGCAAUCAAGUCGUUCUGAAUGUUUGGUUUUUUUGUUAACCUACUAAUUUGCAAAUACGGACUCCUCAUAUCUUGUCAAGAAUUCUCUCUGUUAGUUCUAUUCUUUAUCCACUGAAGGACCCCUUAUAAUAGUUUGAGAUAUUGCUAGGGUUUCUUUAUUUGGUCUAAAUCAAGGCAUGCCUUACUGCAUAACUUCCAUGAAAUUUAGAUGUGAAUAUCCUCAAAAUGGUUCAUUAAUUGGCUGUUCAAGAAUAAAAAUUGAUGAGCUUCUUACAAGGAAACAAUUUUGUUUCUUUUGUUGAAAUUGCAACUGCCAUCAUCUCAAAAUAAUUACCAUGGGAUCUAUUACAUGGUUCAUUUCUUUGUAUGAUGAUACAAUAUAGCUGUGUUCAUCCUUUUAACUGUUACAUGUUUCCAGUAAUUUCCAUGUGUAGUUGUUGGAAUUGUGCCUUCUCAUUGACAUUGUUUAGUGAUUCUCAAUAUGUUGCUUUUUUUAAUUUAGUUAACGACCUGCAUUUUUCCAGUAAUUUCCAAUCCCUAACGGUGGGUAUUUUCGGUACUUCUCAAUAUACUUCUUUUUCCAAUUCAAUUAUUGAAGUGUUUCCCCACAUAUCUGAUAUGUUUUCUUGUUGCUUUUUAUAAUUCACUUAAUGAAGUGCUUUCCCACAUUUCUGAUACAUGUUUAACUUUCAACCACACAGGUGCUUAUUUUCAGAGAUCGAGCAAUUUAAAUCUGGUGAAUUACCUGUAACCGGCCCUUCUAACAAUUACAUGAAUGCAUUAGUGAGAGGGUUGGUAGAAGGAAAACAGCUUACCAGAAAGGAAGCAAUUGCUUACAUUAAUGAUGCUGCUGGCAGAGGGUUAUGAGUACUUGGGCCCCACAUUUAUAGCAUAGCAAGUUGUGUAGGAACGAUGAUUAACAUUGAAUAAAAAUGCAAACAGCUCAAUAUUCACUGUGUAUAGGUUGUCUUUUAGAAGUUUGCAUAUGGCCUGCACAAAGAGUGCUUGACUAGAAAACGUUUUUGGAA
rnacentral:lncRNA from 1 species